rnacentral:rRNA from 1 species
UGAGGAAUAUUGGUCAAUGGACGAGAGUCUGAACCAGCCAAGUAGCGUGCAGGAUGACGGCCCUAUGGGUUGUAAACUGCUUUUGUUUGGGAAUAAUCGACAUUACGUGUAAUGUUUUGCAUGUACCAUUCGAAUAAGGACCGGCUAAUUCCGUGCCAGCAGCCGCGGUAAUACGGAAGGUUCGGGCGUUAUCCGGAUUUAUUGGGUUUAAAGGGAGCGUAGGCCGUUUGGUAAGCGUGUUGUGAAAUGUAGGAGCUCAACUUCUAGAUUGCAGCGCGAACUGUCAGACUUGAGUGCGCACAACGUAGGCGGAAUUCAUGGUGUAGCGGUGGAAUGCUUAGAUAUCAUGAAGAACUCCGAUUGCGAAGGCAGCUUACGGGAGCGCAACUGACGCUGAAGCUCGAAGGUGCGGGUAUCGAACAGG